GGUGCCAGCAGCCGCGGUAAUUCCAGCUCCAAUAGCGUAUAUUAAAGUUGUUGCAGUUAAAAAGCUCGUAGUUGAAUUUCGGGGUUAGUAGGUUGGUCAUGCCUUUGGUAUGUACUGGUCUCACUGAUUCCUCCUUCCUUAUGAACCGUAAUGCCAUUAAUUUGGUGUUGCGGGGAAUUUGGACUGUUACUUUGAAAAAAUUAGAGUGUUUAAAGCAAGCUAACGCUUGAAUACAUUAGCAUGGAAUAAUGAAAUAGGACGUUCGAUCUUAUUUUGUUGGUUUCUAGGAUUGACGUAAUGAUUAAUAGGGAUAGUUGGGGGCAUUAGUAUUCAAUUGUCAGAGGUGAAAUUCUUGGAUUUAUUGAAGACUAACUACUGCGAAAGCAUUUGCCAAGGAUGUUUUCAUUAAUCAA
rnacentral:rRNA from 1 species